CCAAUAGCGUAUAUUAAAGUUGUUGCAGUUAAAAAGCUCGUAGUUGAAUUUCGGGAUCAGUAGGUCGGUCGUGCCUACGGUACGUACUGGCUUCACUGGUUCCUCCCUUCUGACAAACCAUGAUGUCAUUAAUUUGGUGUCGUGGGGAAUCAGGACUGUUACUGUGAAAAAAUUAGAGUGUUUAAAGCAGGCUUAAGCUUGAAUACAUUAGCAUGGAAUAAUGAAAUAGGACGUUUGAUCUUAUUUUGUUGGUUUCUAGGAUCGACGUAAUGAUUAAUAGGGAUAGUUGGGGGCAUUAGUAUUCAAUUGUCAGAGGUGAAAUUCUUGGAUUUAUUGAAGACUAACUACUGCGAAAGCAUUUGCCAAGGAUGUUUUCAUUAAUCAAGAACGAAAGUUAGGGGAUCGAAGACGAUCAGAUACCGUCGUAGUCUUAACCAUAAACUAUGCCGACUAGGGAUCGGAUGAUGUUAAUUUUUAAUGACUCAUUCGGCGCCUUACG
rnacentral:rRNA from 1 species